rnacentral:rRNA from 1 species
UACGUAGGGGGCAAGCGUUGUCCGGAUUCAUUGGGCGUAAAGAGCGUGUAGGCGGCCAGGUAGGUCGGUUGUGAAAACUGGAGGCUCAACCUUCAGAGGUCGACCGAAACCAUCUGGCUAGAGUCCGGGAGAGGAGAGUGGAAUUCCUGGGAUGUAGCGGUGAAAUGCGCAGAUAUCAGGAAGAACACCCGUGGCGAAAGCGGCUCUCUGGAACGGUACUGACGCUGAGACGCGAAAGCGUGGGAGCGAACAGG